AAGUCGUAACAAGGUUUCCGUAGGUGAACCUGCGGAAGGAUCAUUAGCACUCUAUUGAGAGGUACCUGUUCGUCACGAGCGGGUAUCUCUCGGAAAACACCUGUGAGCACUGAAAUGAUUUGUGGAUGGAAGAGUGGAGACGGCUUAGGCCUUUGGCCUGCGCUGGUUGAAGCUUUUUCCUUUUUUACUUUUUUAAACCCCAACAACCUAUCUUUAAACUAUACAAAGACUGAACUGUCUCUUGCCACAAACAAGAGACAACCUUGAUAUUCUAACCAAAGAAACAAUUCUUAGCAACGGAUAUCUUGGUUCCC
rnacentral:misc_RNA from 1 species